CGCAGAUGACUUUAGUAACAAACUGAUGUUUACAUCAGAUGAUUUGUAACUCUCAUGGAUAACUUGCACACAUAACAGUGCUAGGAUUAAAUAAACAUGUCUUAAAUUUAUAGUUAAAAUAAUAAUCUAAAACCUGGACAUAUUUUGUAUACGGAUAAAUUGUAACGUAAUAUUGGACAGACUUAGGUUGUGAACAUCAAAAUGGGAUACAGUUAUUAUUUGAAUAUAUGCAUGAGUAUAGCUACAUGUAUGCGGAUAAACAUGAUGAUCGGAUAGGAUGCGCGCAAUCGUCCCAAAGGAAGCCUAGCGCCGGAGCAUGUUUGUACCGAUGUCAAGGCUAUCUCAGAGGUUUUCGAGAAGUCAGCAUACGAGCAUAUUGGAUAUGUCAGAAUGUUAAGUUGGUUCGUUAGUAUAACGAACGGAACAUGCACAUUGGUGGACGAGUUGCUGCAUUGCGUUGCUGAAUCAAUUUGGAGAGAGCGUGAGCAAAUAGAAUCGUGUGUUCUGCACAUGCGAAGUGCGCUUCGAGACACACAUGCUAGUUCUAUGUUUCCAGCAUAUCCCUUUAAAUGGAAGUUCUGUGAAGGUAAGCCUCGUAGUUUUUAAGGUUGCCCGAUUCUUAUAAAACGGAUUGAUAUUUGUAAAGUCAUUGAUUAACAUAUGUUUAAUUUAGUAGCUAGGAGUAUGCUAUCAUAAGUUGUUCCUUCGACACUCUCACAUAUGAGGCAACUUAGAGGACUUGCUAUGCCUUUUAUCUGAACUUCUUUUAGCGCAUUGAUUUUAAAUAGUAUUCGACGGUAGUAUCCAGCGCUUGUUAUAAUUAGAUGUACAUAUAGUUGCCAUUGUUAUUGUGUUUCAUCCUUAUUAAGCUUUGUUUUCUUUUUAUGCUUAUGUUUUUCCGGAGCACGGAAACCAUAACUCUGACUGCAAUAUGUUAUUGCCGUUUGUUCUUUUCUAUACUUAAAUUGUAUCCAAAGCACAACCCCUAUGAUUUAAUUGGUAUAGAUAACUGAUGUGUCAUAAUGAGAGAAAGUAAUGCACAAAAAUCUCUCAGCCCAAGCCUAACUCUAUAAGCCUUCAAACUUCAAACUCAGAUAUAUCAUAUUGAGGGGAAUGGCAGUGUUAAGAAACCUUUAUUUUCUGUAUUACUUUGGUAUCUGCCCUGUGUUCAUUUACACACUAUUUUUUUGUCCGGAACAUUACUUCAAACGUCUGUUUUAGGUUUUGACAUUCUAAUUGAUAGUAAGAUAGAUUUUAUCGAAUGAAGUGCAGGACACAUAACCCUGGAUAUAUUCAUACCCAUAUCAUAUUGCUUCAUAUUGUUUUAAAACAAAUUUGCUUAAAUGGAAUACUUGACAUUAUAUUGUUUUCACAAAUUGGCACCCUAGCAGAUAAACACCACAAAGCUGAACUCUCACAGAUUUUCCGUUUUGACAACCUUUAUGUAUUUGAAUGGGCCAAUGUUUGCAUGAUUAUCUAAAAUAAAAAAAAAAAACAGUGAAAUAGGACUGCUUACAAAAGAUCAGAUCGCAGAUUUUCAUAUUUCCGUUCGAACAUUUAUGUGUUAUGGGGAAAAGUGUUACUAACUGUUUAAGAAAAUGCAUAAAUCAUCAAUUUCUUAAAUAUGAAAAGUUUACAUUACUGGUGUUCAUGCAUGUUUGCAUAAUUCGGCUCGUUCUAAGACAAAAAAUAAAAAAGCUUUCAAUCUGUGAGAGUGCAGCUUAAAACAGAACAAAACCCAUAUUUUAAUUUAAGGUACACAUGUAGUUUUAGAGAUUUGUUUAUCAUUAUCCAGUAUCAAAAUGCUGGAAAAAAAACUAGUCUUAAUACAGCAGGGGAUAUGACAGUCUGAAAAAUAUGUGUCUUUGAUUUCCCAGUGUUAAAAUGUACUUUUUAUUUUUCCAGUCGUAUGGUGUGAAAACUUCCACAAAUUCACAGAUGCUCAAGUCGCAUGUUUUGUUAGGUGCCUUUUGGGUCCAGCAGCUAUAUGUAUUGGGGGAGUUCUUGCUUUUCUAUGCCUUGGUACCGCCGUUGGAAGAAUUUUCAAUAAUUCGUUUAUAGCCUGGUGUAUUGAGGCCUUGUUGGGCAUGAUAGUUGCUGUUAUUUGGAUUGGCUACAAACCAAAGUUGUUCACGUUGUUUUCAGUAGUCAAUAUACUUAAAUUUGUAAUAGACUGUGAUUGCUGUGAAGUAUACUAGUAGUUGAUUUUUGAAAAGAGCACAUGAGUUGUAGCAAGACUAUAAGCUGACAUGCGUGUACCUUCGAUUACUUGUAAAUCAAACAGAAUUGUUCUCAUUUCAGGAAAGAAUCGCUUGAUUUGGUGGCACUUUCGGGGUUUAAAUGCAGUUUGGGUUCUUAUAGUAUGUGGUGUCCGAAUGACUCCACGCGUACUUUAACCAGCCCAACGGCGUUCAUAUCCACGACAAUACCAUUUAUAACGCAACUUAAUACAUAUGUUUACACAUAAAGCUGAUUAUUUAUUUUCAGAACUGUUUAAAUAAUUUUUAAUAUCAUUUUAGAAAACUUUACUGUUAUUCAUUCUCAUCAAUUAUCUAUAUAGAACCCGAGGCUUCAUUUCGAUGACCAGACAUGUACAUGAUAUGCUUAGUACACUAUUUAAAUCAAUAUAUGGUGAUUCGCGAUCGAGGUUGUCCGGUUAGCGCAGUGGUUAGCGUACUCGAUUCUCACUAUGCCUAAACGAUUCAUUGCAUUCUAAUUUUAUUAAUGAGAGUUAUAGAGAAAGCAAGACUCAUUAACUCAUUUUUUCCAUAUUACGUGGCACCAGGUUAAAGCAAUAGCUGCUCGGAAUGAGUGAGAGACCACAAACAGACCACAUUCUAGAUGUGCCACUGUUGUUCUGUUUAUAUUUGUACUUUCUUAUUCUGUUUUUGUGCCUGGUUAGCGUUAAUACUAUUUUGAUAUAUUAUUGGACAAACCCUAUUGAUUUUCUUUCGUAGAAUUCGUUGACCGUGCUAAGACGAUAUCCCUAACACUUAUUAAUACCGACAACUGUAUAUGGCGUUUUGUUUGUGAUUGUGUGAGGCGGAAUGACGUUCAUUAAGUGCCUAUUUUAUCUUACAACUUGUGUUCUAAACUUAAUGUUGGUUAAUUGUUAGGCAUCUAGGAUGUAUUAUUGCCAUUGAACUUGCUCUUUUAAUCAUUUGGUGUUCAAAUGUAAAUGCUAGUUAACAAUAUUGAUGUUAGAUUGUAAAGCCAUAUUUGAACAAAUGUGACGUGUAAAAUAGAAUAUAUGAAAUUUCUAUCCAAAUAAUAAAAUGUGUAUGUAAAUAUAUUGCAUAAUAAACACAUUACGGAUGUC